rnacentral:rRNA from 1 species
GAUGAACGCUGGCGGCGUGCUUAACACAUGCAAGUCGAACGAAGCACUUUAUUUGAUUUCCUUCGGGACUGAUUAUUUUGUGACUGAGUGGCGGACGGGUGAGUAACGCGUGGGUAACCUGCCUUGUACAGGGGGAUAACAGUUGGAAACGGCUGCUAAUACCGCAUAAGCGCACGGCAUCGCAUGAUGCAGUGUGAAAAACUCCGGUGGUAUAAGAUGGACCCGCGUUGGAUUAGCUAGUUGGUGGGGUAACGGCCCACCAAGGCGACGAUCCGUAGCCGACCUGAGAGGGUGACCGGCCACAUUGGGACUGAGACACGGCCCAAACUCCUACGGGAGGCAGCAGUGGGGAAUAUUGCACAAUGGGCGAAAGCCUGAUGCAGCGACGCCGCGUGAGCGAAGAAGUAUUUCGGUAUGUAAAGCUCUAU